rnacentral:rRNA from 1 species
GGCGGACGGGUGAGUAAUGCUUAGGAAUCUGCCUAUUAGUGGGGGACAACAUUCCGAAAGGAAUGCUAAUACCGCAUACGCCCUACGGGGGAAAGCAGGGGAUCUUCGGACCUUGCGCUAAUAGAUGAGCCUAAGUCGGAUUAGCUAGUUGGUGGGGUAAAGGCCUACCAAGGCGACGAUCUGUAGCGGGUCUGAGAGGAUGAUCCGCCACACUGGGACUGAGACACGGCCCAGACUCCUACGGGAGGCAGCAGUGGGGAAUAUUGGACAAUGGGCGGAAGCCUGAUCCAGCCAUGCCGCGUGUGUGAAGAAGGCCUUUUGGUUGUAAAGCACUUUAAGCGAGGAGGAGGCUCCUUUAGUUAAUACCUAAAGAGAGUGGACGUUACUCGCAGAAUAAGCACCGGCUAACUCUGUGCCAGCAGCCGCGGUAAUACAGAGGGUGCGAGCGUUAAUCGGAUUUACUGGGCGUAAAGCGUGCGUAGGCGGCUUUUUAAGUCGGAUGUGAAAUCCCUGAGCUUAACUUAGGAAUUGCAUUCGAUACUGGAAAGCUAGAGUAUGGGAGAGGAUGGUAGAAUUCCAGGUGUAGCGGUGAAAUGCGUAGAGAUCUGGAGGAAUACCGAUGGCGAAGGCAGCCAUCUGGCCUAAUACUGACGCUGAGGUACGAAAGCAUGGGGAGCAAACAGGAUUAGAUACCCUGGUAGUCCAUGCCGUAAACGAUGUCUACUAGCCGUUGGGGCCUUUGAGGCUUUAGUGGCGCAGCUAACGCGAUAAGUAGACCGCCUGGGGAGUACGGUCGCAAGACUAAAACUCAAAUGAAUUGACGGGGGCCCGCACAAGCGGUGGAGCAUGUGGUUUAAUUCGAUGCAACGCGAAGAACCUUACCUGGCCUUGACAUACUAAGAACUUUCCAGAGAUGGAUUGGUGCCUUCGGGAACUUAGAUACAGGUGCUGCAUGGCUGUCGUCAGCUCGUGUCGUGAGAUGUUGGGUUAAGUCCCGCAACGAGCGCAACCCUUUUCCUUAUUUGCCAGCGGGUAAUGCCGGGAACUUUAAGGAUACUGCCAGUGACAAACUGGAGGAAGGCGGGGACGACGUCAAGUCAUCAUGGCCCUUACGGCCAGGGCUACACACGUGCUACAAUGGUCGGUACAAAGGGUUGCUACCUCGCGAGAGGAUGCUAAUCUCAAAAAGCCGAUCGUAGUCCGGAUCGCAGUCUGCAACUCGACUGCGUGAAGUCGGAAUCGCUAGUAAUCG